GCGCGUUCCUCGCGGCCUCUGGCCGCCCCGCCCGGUUCCCGCCGCGGGCCUCGCCCCGCGGUGCCUCCGCCCGGGCGCUCCGUGCGGCUGUCUGGCCUGGCCUGGUCCGCCGAUCGCGCUGCGGCGCAACUCGGGGGACACCCAGCAGGCGCCGGCUCCUUCGCUGGUCCCGCGCUUUCCGCGCGGUUCCGCCGCCUCCCACCCGGGAGACAUCUCCAAUUUGAUAGGAUCUUUGAUCAACCGCAGCGUUUCCCCCAGGUGUUAGCUGCCUCGGCGGCUUCUUUGCCUCCAGAACCGAAGUCUAGUGUUGGCCUUUCAACUCAGAUUUUCUUAGAAUGUGAUAUACGUGGAAGAUCUGCACAUCUACUUCUUCCUUCAUUACAGGAGACAUGGGUUCGAUCCCUGGUCCAGGAGAAGCUUCGUGCUGUGGAGCAACUAAGCUCUUGUGCCACAACUACUGAGCCCACGUGCCACGACGACUGAGCCCGAGCACCCUAGAGCUGUGCUGCACGGCAAGAGACGCCACCACGGCGAGAGACCCGUGCACCGUGACAGAGAGGACCCACCACUGCCAAACAAAUAAAUGAAAUUACAU
ensembl:lncRNA